rnacentral:rRNA from 1 species
UCCGACAUUGAAGGAUAAGACGUGUCAACAUCGCAUUCGACAUUGAAUGAACGCAGAAAAGCAAAAAGCUCGCCGAAGCGAGCUUUUUUAAUGUGGCUGGGGUACGAGGAUUCGAACCUCGGAAUGCCGGAAUCAGAAUCCGGUGCCUUACCGCUUGGCGAUACCCCAACUGGGUGCACUUACAAGGUAAGCGUCUUGAAUAAAUUGGCUGGGGUACGAGGAUUCGAACCUCGGAAUGCCGGAAUCAGAAUCCGGUGCCUUACCGCUUGGCGAUACCCCAACAAAUUGGUUUUGAAUUUGCCGAACAUAUUCGACACAUUCAGAAUUUGGUGGCUACGACGGGAUUCGAACCUGUGACCCCAUCAUUAUGAGUGAUGUGCUCUAACCAACUGAGCUACGUAGCCAGAUUGUUUCUUCGAUGGCUGGGGUACCUGGAUUCGAACCAGGGAAUGCCGGUAUCAAAAAC